GAGAAGAAGUAUGAUGGGAAGAAGAAGCCUGUCCUUUGUUUGGGAGAAGCCAUAUUUUAACACAGAGGCUGCUAUUCCAUAUGGCAGCCAUCUUAAGGGGCUGGAGGAGCAGGGAGAGCAUGGGUGUGUGGUGGAGAGACACAAGAUGGCAGAGAUGAGGAAGGGUCACAAGAUGGCAGAGGUAAGUAAGAGGAGAUGGAAGAGCUGGCCAGAUUAUAGGGUGUGGGAGGUGUGAGUGGUGAGUGAACGGCUGGAUCAAAGGUGGGAGUUGGGAGGGAUGGAGGAUGGAGUUUGGGCUAGAAGUACCUGAAAGGGUGAGCAGGUCUGACAGAGGAAGGGUUGAGAAAGG
rnacentral:lncRNA from 1 species